UACUAGAGUAGCACUCGCAUAUCAAUAAGCGGAGGAAAAGAAACUAACAAGGAUUCCCCUAGUAACGGCGAGUGAAGCGGGAAGAGCUCAAAUUUGAAAUCUUAAAGGGUUUCCCUUUACGAAUUGUAGUUUAAAGAAGUGUUUUCUGUUGAGGUUUUCGGUAAAAGUUCUUUGGAAUAGGACAUCAUAGAGGGUGAGAAUCCCGUAUUUGACCUUUACUUUCAACUUUGUGAUACACUUUCAAAGAGUCGGAUUGUUUGGGAAUGCAGUCCAAAAUGGGUGGUAAAUUUCAUCUAAAGCUAAAUAUUGGCGAGAGACCGAUAGCGAACAAGUACCGUGAGGGAAAGAUGAAAAGAACUUUGAAAAGAGAGUUAAACAGUACGUGAAAUUGUCAAAAGGGAAGCGUUUGACACCAGUGUUGUUUUUCUGAAAAUCAAUUAAAGAACUGUUUAUGCUAAGCUGUUUAGACUUUAUCAGCUAACUGUUUAGUUUUGAGCUUUUCUUUAAUGCACUUUUCAGUUAACAAGUCAACAUCAAUUUCUUUUGCUGUAAAAAAGCUUGAGGAAGGUGGCUUGAGAUUCGUCUUAAGUGUUUAUAGCCUCUUGCCUAUGCAGUCGGAGAGAUUGAGGUCUGCAGCGUAGAUCCUUCGGGGCUAAAUGCAUUUGUGCUAAGUUAUAGCAUUUUAUAGACAACUUGUUGACUAUGAUUUGUCUUGUAGCUUACUCGCUUAUGUUAUUUUACCUACGCUUAGGAUGUUGAGCGCAUGUCUCUCUCU
rnacentral:rRNA from 1 species